rnacentral:rRNA from 1 species
GACGAACGCUGGCGGCGUGCCUAAUACAUGCAAGUAGAACGCUGAAGGAGGAGCUUGCUCUUCUGGAUGAGUUGCGAACGGGUGAGUAACGCGUAGGUAACCUGCCUGGUAGCGGGGGAUAACUAUUGGAAACGAUAGCUAAUACCGCAUAACAGUAGAUGUUGCAUGACAUUUACUUAAAAGGUGCAAUUGCAUCACUACCAGAUGGACCUGCGUUGUAUUAGCUAGUUGGUGGGGUAACGGCUCACCAAGGCGACGAUACAUAGCCGACCUGGGAGGGGGAUCGGCCACACUGGGACUGGGACACGGCCCAGACUCCUACGGGAGGCAGCAGGAGGGAAUCUUCGGCAAUGGACGGAAGUCUGACCGAGCAACGCCGCGGGAGUGAAGAAGGGUUUCGGAUCGUAAAGCUCUGUUGUAAGAGAAGAACGAGUGUGGGAGUGGAAAGUUCACACUGUGACGGUAUCUUACCAGAAAGGGACGGCUAACUACGUG